rnacentral:lncRNA from 1 species
CUGGCCUCCCAGAUAUGGCCAUGUCUUCUUUGGUGAAGGAGCAGAUUGAAGGAUUUACACCUCUGGCUGUGUCCCUCAUCCGGGCAGACAAGUUUGCUGUCGUGUUUGACCCAGCCCAGAUCAGCAUGUUUUCCUAUGAACAGGCCAAAGCGGUGACUGAAGCCCAGCGCUUGCUUUUGUCCCCUGUGCAGCUGACAGCUAUGUCUAUGGUGCUGACCGUCUGGGAUGACAAACCUGUUGACUUCCGUGGCAGGUCACCAGGGCUGGCACUGUGCCCUAGUCCUCUCUGUCACCUUCUGGGACUGCUGAUGGUGCUGUUAGUUUCUGCUCUGUAAUGGCCUCCCCUUCUGAUGGAUAAACCCCUCAAUGGGCCAUGAGGACUCUCAUGAGGACUCUCUCCCACACAACUUCCAUGUUAAACAAUAAGUGUAAUAUAUUGGAGUAGCCCUGCAGGCUAUUGUAAUGUAUGAUUUGAUAAUGGGUGGAUAUUUAUUUCUAUCAGCAAAUAAUAUCAAAUUGGUCACACACAUAUUUAACAGAUUGUAUUACGGGUGUAGUGAAAUGCUUGCAUUCACAACAAUACAAACACAUCUAAAAGUAAAAAUAAUGGAAUUAAGAAAUAUAUAAAUAUUAGGAUGAGCAAUGUCAGAGUGGCAUUGACUAAAAUAUAUUAGAAUAGAAUACAGUAUAUACAUAUGAGAUGAGUAAAACAGUAUGUAAACAUUAUGAAGUGACCAGUGAUUCUAUGUAUAUAGGGCAGCAGCCUCUAAGGUGCAGGGUUGAGUAACCGGCUAGUGAUAGCUAAUUAACAGUCAGAUGGCCUUGAGAUAGAAGCUGUUUUUCAGUCUCUCGUCCAAGCUUUGAUUCACCUGUACGGACCUCACCUUCUGAAGAGCCAUCAAUUUGCUAUUGGCCUAUUCUCUGAGUGAAGAAAACAACAUUUCAGCAUUUUAUUGCGCAUUGCUGAGUUGUAGUCGUCAGUUUAGGCUGACAAUUAUUUUGUUAGGUUUAAGGUUGAAUAAAAUCUUAUUUUAUUGCUUAAAUGUCAUUGUUUUAAAUUGAAAGAGAAGAGUAAUCAUGUGGUUCUAUCUCAAAGUGCAGUGAUGUUUUCUAUUAUUUGAGCAUUAUUAUGUUUUUAAAUCCUUGUCUAUCUGUAAAGUAUUUUGGCAACAAUUUACAUGGUGUACUUUAUAAAGGGUGUGUUAAUGGUUUAUAAGUAGCCCAGUAGACUCCUUUCCAAUAUUUCUGUAACACAAAAAUAAUCUAGCCUAUAUAACACUCUCAUUGCAAAUAUUUUUGGGGUAUUUAUUCCAUGUAUUGUAAUUGCUGUGAGUUUUGUUUUGUGUGAAUACUCAGGCAUAAAUAUGUUGCUAAUAAAGAACUUCUACAUUGUAUUCAUUUUAAUUUGAUAUUUUUGUAAUCAAAAUGUUUAACUGAAAAAUAUGUUUAAUAUCGAGCUGUCAGUCAUCUCACAACUUCACCUAAGUUUCCU